rnacentral:lncRNA from 1 species
AAAGGAGCUUGUGGGUGCCACUGCAUUUGGUUCUCAGUGACUGUUCUCUGUCUAGUCUCACUUUCCUAUUUUCUACUUUCUUAUUUUUACUCUAUUUUUGAUGAGCUGUUAUUACCCUUUGUUUGGUGGUUUCGUUAUCUUUUGUUCGGUGAUCUCCUCUCACCUCAUACUUGGUUUGUUUCUUUUACAGGCUCUUUCCUUGUCUUCUUUCACUCUCUGCUGUGCACAUCUUUCAUCCUUCUCUUCUUCUGCAUCUUCUCCCAGGGCCAAAGUUCCAUAGCACUCUGAUUAUCCACAUGACAGUAAUUUCUGUAUUAGCACCAGUUACUCUGGUCAGCCCUUGUGCACUUUGAGGAGAAGCAAGCCUGGGCCUGUCUGAUCCACCCACAUGUGAUCUUUUCACAUGAUCCACCCACAUUCUACAAGCAAACCAGUAAACCUUUGGCAUGAACACUCUGAUGAGCACGCUUCAGCUUUCACAGCAACAACACCCAUUGCCCCAGAAGAAGAAAGAAGAGAAAAAAAGAGCUCACAGCACAGCAUCUGGGCUGAAUUAAAUCAGGCUACAAAAGUAUCCAGGCAACUGAGUCCAGCGCGCUGCCAGAGAUCCAGGGCUAUCAUUUUGUCUCUUGCCUCAUUUUUAUCCUCCUUCAAGCACUGCACCUUACAAGAUAGAUUCCCACAUCCACCUCGGCCGUGGGGAGAAGCAUGGAAGAUGCAGGCUGCAGGGGGCUCACAUUCAGAUGCCCCUCUCAUCAGGGGUACAAAGUUUGUACAAGAUAAUUUCCCAUCUAAGCCUCUCCAGGACAGUUUGGGAAGAUAUAGC